GGCCAGUUCUGCUGCUCACGUCUCCAUUGAAGUCACUUUCGGAGGUGGACAGGUGGCAUCAUUAGCACUCUGACUGGUCUGUAUGAUCUGACACCUUUCUAUCAUGGCAGGCAUUAAGGUAUUCAGCAAUUUGAGUUAUAGCAGCUUGGGUGCCCAUGGCCCUGACUCAGAUCCACAGUUGUCCUUCCUUGCACCACUUUUGGUAGGUACUAAGUAACUACUGAAUACCGGGAACAACCCACAAGACUUUCCGUUUUGAAGAUGCUGUGACCCAGUCGUCUAGCUAUCACUAUUUGACCCUUGUCACUCAGAUGGCAUCUCUUGCCCAUUUUUCUGCUUCCAAU